UCCUCUCUCUAACCCUUAGGGUUGGGCGUUGGGCCGAGUUGUGGCAACGCAACUGGUCUCAAAGACAAUGACGGCGUCCGUGGGACCCUCUUCGCAACGAGUCUUUCGGGGCACGCGGGGAGUUGCAAGGUCCCGUCGGGUCGGUCUAACCUUUUUAUUUCUCA
rnacentral:misc_RNA from 1 species